rnacentral:rRNA from 1 species
GAUGAACGCUGGCGGCGUGCCUAAUACAUGCAAGUCGAGCGAACAGAUGAGGAGCUUGCUCCUCUGACGUUAGCGGCGGACGGGUGAGUAACACGUGGAUAACCUACCUAUAAGACUGGGAUAACUUCGGGAAACCGGAGCUAAUACCGGAUAAUAUAUUGAACCGCAUGGUUCAAUAGUGAAAGACGGUUUUGCUGUCACUUAUAGAUGGAUCCGCGCCGCAUUAGCCAGUUGGUAAGGUAACGGCUUACCAAGGCAACGAUGCGUAGCCGACCUGAGAGGGUGAUCGGCCACACUGGAACUGAGACACGGUCCAGACUCCUACGGGAGGCAGCAGUAGGGAAUCUUCCGCAAUGGGCGAAAGCCUGACGGAGCAACGCCGCGUGAGUGAUGAAGGUCUUCGGAUCGUAAAACUCUGUUAUUAGGGAAGAACAAAUGUGUAAGUAACUAUGCACGUCUUGACGGUACCUAAGCAGAAAGCCACGGCUAACUACGU